AUGAAAUUUUCACAGGGGAGGAGGAGCAGCAACAUUUUGCCCAAGUUAAGGUUACACUGGCAAUAUACCAAGCAGCCCGAAGCACUUAAUUUUCAUGAGAGAUCUGAUUACAGCAGCCUGUAUUUGAGUACAGAAAUAUGUCCUGCAGAAUCUGCAGCCCCAGUGCUGCUUCCAAGGAGCAAGGACUGGAGCUCCAGCCUUCCAGGGAGUUUAUCACUCACCAGGUUGCUAACAUUAUGCUUUGAACAAAAUACCAGUGCCAGCAGCUUCCAGCAAAUGGAAAGUCACCAUAAAAAAAAAUGGAUAUCCAGUCCAUUGGCCAGCCAACAUACCUGCUCAGCUACAAGCAAGAAAGCCAAGCAGUUGGCCAGUUCCCAAAGAAGCUGGCCAGGCUGUGAGCCCAUCAGGCAGUUAUACCAUUAGCCAGGCAGCCAACUUGACUGACUUCUGACAAAAGCUUUCCAAGUAGCAUUGUGUCUCCAGG
rnacentral:lncRNA from 1 species